AUGGGUAUCAUCUGACCUUUCUGCAAGAUACUCCAGUUUGCUAAUCCCACAGAAGGCUGCUUUCUGUCAAGUUAGUAUUCAGCCUGAUUAGCAGGUUCAUUUGACACACUGUGCAAACAGGCUGUGGAGUCUAUGAGAAGUCUAUGCCAGAGUACUGGAAGGGAAAUCUGAGAGAAGAGUAACAGAAGAAAAAGGCAAUGAGCAACCCCUUUGGCAGUAAAAUGUUGUAUCAGAUAUUCUGUGAAGCUUUGCUGUGAGGUUUUUAAUAGCAUAUCAUGCUUUUCCUGAGCUACACAAAUAAGACUUUUUCCAAGCCGUAUAAUUUUUAUCAAGGUACUUACUACUCUGGACAUCAACAUAAAGGACAGGAAAUAUUCUGUAUGUUUUCUCCCUGAAUUAUCACUUAACUUACUCCACUGACUCUUACUUUGAAUGUUGUGAUUUAUGACAUCUAAGAAGCAAAACUUUUCUAGAUGAUGGCUUUAGUGAAAUGCACCUCGCAGGCUAAUGGAGGCUUACCAUGUGGAUGUACUACACAGCAUAGAAAUUCCAGUUUAUCCAAGUUAGAAUAAAAAAUAGCUAGCGCUAUGCAGAGUCAGAAGAAGCCAAGAGCAUAAGUCACUUAUGCAUUCAGUGUAUGGUAUGUUGACACUUCUGACUUUCUUUUUAAUGUCCUCUUAAAAGACUACUUUUAAUUGUCUUUCUGGUUUCUGGUCAUUUCAAACCAACAGAAGUAUGAUACAAGACUUGAAGAAGCUGUCCUGCAGUCCUGCUGCUCUGUCCUGUGCAAGCACUGCUGUUUGAGUAGCUGAAUGGAAAACUUUAGGAUCAAAGGGAAGCUGGCAGCCUGUCAACUUCUCUUUGUCAGGCUGGCAAAGAGACUGGCAGUGUGUGCUGAGAGGAGGAACAGUUUCUUCCAGGCAGACAUGGAAUUUAGCAGGACCAAAGAAACUGUGCAAAAGCUGGAAACAAAAGGAUGAGGUUCUUGGAAGUACUUGACUAACAAAUUACGAGGUGUGAAGAUGUUUUA